rnacentral:rRNA from 1 species
CCUACGGGAGGCAGCAGUGGGGAAUAUUGCACAAUGGGGGAAACCCUGAUGCAGCGACGCCGCGUGAGUGAAGAAGUAUUUCGGUAUGUAAAGCUCUAUCAGCAGGGAAGAAAAUGACGGUACCUGAUUAAGAAGCCCCGGCUAACUACGUGCCAGCAGCCGCGGUAAUACGUAGGGGGCAAGCGUUAUCCGGAUUUACUGGGUGUGAAGGGAGCGUAGACGGCAGCACAAGUCUGGAGUGAAAGGCCGGGGCUUAACCCCGGAACUGCGUUGGAAACUGUGCAGCUAGAGUGCAGGAGAGGGAAGUGGAAUGCCUAGUGUAGCGGUGAAAUGCGUAGAUAUUAGGAGGAACACCAGUGGCGAAGGCGGCUUCCUGGACUGUAACUGACGUUGAGGCUCGAAAGCGUGGGGAGCAAACAGGAUUAGAUACCCUGGUAGUC